GGGGAGGGGGCGGCGGGAUAGGCCGUGAGGGGACAGGGAACAGGGGACAGGGAACAGGGGACAGGGAACAGGGGUGACUGCUCCUCCUGGAAGGGCACGGCUGGGACGUGUAAGCGCGGGGCAGGUCGCUGAGGUCGGCAGCUGGAGCAGGGGGACUCUUGGAGCAGUGGCUGCAGGGACAGGACUGAGAUGGUGUCUUCCUUCAGUACGGCAUGGAGCAUCAUCCGAGGUCAUAUUUAUGCCCGUUUUCUAGAAGCCGAGGAAAGGUCACUUGUCAAGGUCAUAUGGUAGGCUAGUGCUGAACGAGUCUGUCCAGUCCAAGUACAUUUUAAAUUCCGUCAUUCCCUGUAAAGCAAACAAGUGGAAAUUGUUGAUAUAGGAUAGAUGUUGGGGUCAUGCCAGCACUAUAAUUACCCUGUGACAGGGUGUUAGGAUUAGGGAUAUGGGAGAUGGCAGAAAGAGCUGGCAGCUGUGGAGGACGGGAGUGGAGGUGGGCCAGGCACUUCAGCAGUGGAUGAGGGAAAAGCAGCGAUCAAGAACUGUGGAAAGCAACAGGUGGAUGAGGAGUUGGGUGUGAAGUGCUCGGCCGCCGUGCUGUGCUCAGAGGAGGAGGAGGGAGGAAGUGUCAGCUCCUGCUUCGUUUCUGCAAACGCUGUCGCACAGCUGAAGCAGACAGAACACCUCGCAGCCAUGUUAGCAUUAAUUUUGAAAGAAUAAGCAACUCUGCCAGUUUAAUUCUCUUUUAUCAGGCAAGCUGAAAUAUAUGGCAUUUUCAUUGCUUUAUCAUUUUAGCGGAACAUAGUCAUCAUGUGACCAGCUCUUAUUUGCUUUUCUAUUAAUAUAUCAAUUUAACAGUUAAUAUUAAUAUUGACUUUUUGAAAUGUUUGAUGUUUUCUGUGACUGUUUGGAAAAUGGAAAACAUGCUUUAAAAAUAAUUAAGACUUUUUUGUGUGUGUUUAUUUAACUGAAUGUAUUUAUUAGACCAAAUCUCAUUUUCAAAUACAACUAAAAUCUGCUUUAAACUGAAAUCUCGAGGCGGGGGAUGGAGGGGACAGUGAGAUGAGCAGAUGAUAUUUAUGCAGUUUUUUGGUGUUACUCUGUGGAUGUGAGCAGUCUGCACAGUCACUCCCUGCUGAAGCUGAUGGAACCUGGCCAGCCAGCAGCCAACACAGGCUUUGCUGGUACCUGAUAGAAACCAUCCUGCACAGAGACGCAGGACAGAGCCGUGGAGAUCACAGCUGUAGGAGCAAGAUAGGGCACAGAAGAAAGCAAGGCAGGCUCAACUGAACAGUUGUGGAUCUUUAGAACCCAGCUGUCCCACGUAGGUAUUCUCAUUUUUAUUCCAGCAACUGACAUCACAGGGCACACUUUUUCUAGAAAUCUCUUAUGUCCAAACCCUUCCAGCUAUUAACAGAUGGCUGUAUUUCUGCAAAACAAGGCAGAGGUCCUGGAGAUUUGUAAAGGUAUAUUCCAUAUACAGAACCCUAGUGUUUUAUGAGGCUUUAUUACAAAUUGUAGCAAAAUGCUCUCAGUUAGGCUCCAAACUCUGAAGUCUGUCUUUUGUCCUGUAUUGAUACUUCCUGAAGAAGAAAGCAAUCUCAGAUGUUUCUAAAUGUUACAAUACAUGCAGAAAUAUUUUUCUUUCUCAGCUGAAGAAGAUAAUCACAUUUUAUCAAAACUAAAAUGUAUUUAAAAUAGCUAAGUGAAAAUCUUUCUGAAGCAGUCUUUCCCUAGUUAUUGGGAGUAUCUCCAGUAGGUAAGAAUCCUGUACUUUUUUAUCAGAGAUUGCGUGUCUAUUCUCUUAAUUUUCUCCGGCCAAAAGAUUAUUUGUUAAGCAUUCAGUGGAUUUAAG